GUCAGGAUGGCCGAGCGGUCUAAGGCGCCAGACUCAAGGUUCAUACCUUCUCGGUUCAAAACCGAGUUCAGGGUUUUCUGGUCCUCUCUGAGGGCGUGGGUUCGAAUCCCACUUCUGACA
rnacentral:tRNA from 1 species